rnacentral:rRNA from 1 species
UACGGGGGGAGCAAGCGUUGUUCGGAUUUACUGGGCGUAAAGGGCGCGUAGGCGGUCAGCACAAGUCAGUUGUGAAAUCUCCGGGCUUAACUCGGAAAGGUCAACUGAUACUGUGCGACUAGAGUGCGGAAGGGGCAACUGGAAUUCUCGGUGUAGCGGUGAAAUGCGUAGAUAUCUGGAGGAACACCGGUGGCGAAGGCGGCAUCCUGGACCACGACUGACACUGAAAAGCGAAAGCCAGGGGAGCAAACGGG